rnacentral:rRNA from 1 species
UAAUGUGGGUAUCUGCCUUUUGGUUUGGAAUAACAUGAGGAAACUUGUGCUAAUACCGAAUAAGCCCUUACGGGGAAAGUUUUAACGCCGAAAGAUGAGCUCGCACUUGAUUAGCUAGUUGGUAGGGUAAAAGCCUACCAAGGCUACGAUCAAUAGCUGAUUUGAGAGGAUGAUCAGCCACAUUGGGACUGAGACACGGCCCAGACUCCUACGGGAGGCAGCAGUGGGGAAUCUUGCACAAUGGGGGAAACCCUGAUGCAGCGAUGCCGCGUGAGUGAAGAAGGCCUUUGGGUUGUAAAGCUCUUUCGUCGGGGAAGAAAAUGACUGUACCCGAAUAAGAAGGUCCGGCUAACUUCGUGCCAGCAGCCGCGGUAAUACGAAGGGACCUAGCGUAGUUCGGAAUUACUGGGCUUAAAGGGCUCGUAGGUGGUUAGAAAAGUUGGUGGUGAAAUCCCAAGGCUUAACCUUGGAACUGCCAUCAAAACUUUUUAACUAGAGUAUGAUAGAGGAAAGUGGAAUUUCUAGUGUAGAGGUGAAAUUCGUAGAUAUUAGAAAGAACACCGAUUGCGAAGGCAACUUUCUGGAUCAUUACUGACACUGAGGAGCGAAAGCAUGGGUAGCGAAGAGGAUUAGAUACCCUCGUAGUCCAUGCUGUAAACGAUGUGUGCUA